UACGUAGGGUGCGAGCGUUAAUCGGAAUUACUGGGCGUAAGGCGUGCGCAGGCGGUUCGUUGUGUCUGAUGUGAAAGCCCCGGGCUCAACCUGGGAAUGGCAUUGGAAACUGGCGAGCUGGAGUGUGGCAGAGGGGGGUGGAAUUCCGCGUGUAGCAGUGAAAUGCGUAGAGAUGCGGAGGAACACCGAUGGCGAAGGCAGCCCCCUGGGCCAACACUGACGCUCAGGCACGAAAGCGUGGGGAGCAAACAGG
rnacentral:rRNA from 1 species